UUGCCUCCUCUCUUUUUGUUGCAAGCCUUGGACUCAAGUCCGAUGCUCAGUCAGGACAGCUUGGUGUUGAAGACAACUUCUUGAACGGUUGCAACCUUUUUUGCGUGGUUGGGCCAACACGAUUUGGCAUGAGCUAAGAUGUUUUGCAGGAAGCGUCUUACCAUGGAAACAUAUGACUCAGUGGUUGAGUACAACCAAAAUAGCCACAACUAACGCCACAGACACAGCUAUAACUUUCCCAAACAAACCCCAAGUGUGCAAUGUAAUUUGGCUCAUUUCUGUCUUUAGCCUUGUUGCAUUUGGAGGAGCACUGAAGCUAUGAAGCUAUGCUAGGAGCCUUACUGGCUGAGGCAUCAAGACUUCUUAUGAUUGAAAGUCGUUUGUGGUUCGUGUGAACUUCUCCGUGAUAAUUUUGCAAGCAUUUGCUCAAUUGCAUGAAUAAUCAUCAUAUAGGUAGCUCCGUUGUUGCUGGAGAAUGAGCCAAAUUUUGUGGAUAAAGAUGCUCAACUGGGGGUGGAAUUUGAGUUGGAACAUGGAGAUACAAUGCCGAGGAUCCUGCCAGUGGUAAAGCAGGAAGCAAAGUUCUCUUGGAAAGGAUGCAGAAAUGAUGUGCUGGUCCUACCAAGCAUGAUCAGCAGAUGCAUUGAGUGCAGCUUCUCAAUGAUUUCCGGUGGAAUGGGCUGCUCUUCUUUGUUUUGAGGAAGGUGGGGAAGGAAGGGGUCGGGCUUUCAGUGUACAUCUUUCCUUUUCUUUCUUUCUUUCUUUAUUUUUUGGCUUGAACUCUCGAUCUAAACAUCUCAUGGUUGGUUUAAGCUGGCUGUCCUUGUAAGGAAGGAUCAUUUCAUAAAGAAUACCAUUUGCCAAGCAAAGACAGACUGAUUAUAAGGUAAAAAAGUAAUUGUUAGAAUCCUGAAAGAGAUCCCAGGUAGUGGCCAGAUCCUGUACGCAAAGAAGUGCAUGGAUGUGGAUCCCAUCUGCCUCUGGAAACGGGAGAAUCUGAGACAUGCGAGUCAGCGUAUUCUGAAAGAACCCCCCAUGCAAUGUAAGGUUUUAGUUUGUGCAAUUUGACAGUUGAACAAUGAAUAGGCAUCAGCUCUUUCUGUAUUCUGACUCAAGAAAUUGGAGAGCACUAGCUUUCUUUUCUGAUAGUUCUUUAUUUCUGACAGGGGCAUCUCUACUUUUGUCAACCUAGUAUUUCUACUUAGUAGGGGCCAAAAGGAAAAAGAAACUUCCUCUCGGAACAGUCUGUUAUACUGCCAGCUCGUCACUGUCAGAAUGCAUCAAUUGUUACAGCUUUUUACAUGACAUUAGCUCAUAAAAGCACACAUCAAACAAUACAUUCCCUCUGAAUCCCAAGGAAAGAAACGGAUUUGUGUUAGUGCAUGAAUGGCUUCUAGAUAGCAGCAGAUCACUGUCACUCUUCUUCUGGUUCUUCCUCUUCCUGGAGAAGAUUUUCUCUAUUAUCAUGUGCCCAAAAA